UACGUAGGUGGCGAGCGUUGUCCGGAUUUAUUGGGCGUAAAGCGCUCGCAGGUGGUUCGUUGCGUCGUGCGUGAAAGACCCCGGCUCAACUGGGGAGUGUCGUGCGAUACGGGCGAACUGGAGGCCAGUAGGGGGAUGCGGAAUUCCGGGUGUAGUGGUGGAAUGCGUAGAGAUCCGGAGGAACACCAGCGGCGAAGGCGGCAUCCUGGACUGGUCCUGACACUCAGGAGCGAAAGCGUGGGGAGCGAUCCGG
rnacentral:rRNA from 1 species